CCUACGGGAGGCAGCAGUGGGGAAUUUUGGACAAUGGGCGCAAGCCUGAUCCAGCUAUUCCGCGUGUGGGAUGAAGGCCCUCGGGUUGUAAACCACUUUUUUAGAGAACGAAAAGACACCUUUGAAUAAAGGGUGUUGCUGACGGUACUCUAAGAAUAAGCACCGGCUAACUACGUGCCAGCAGCCGCGGGAAUACGUAGGGUGCGAGCGAUAAUCGGAAUUACUGGGCGUAAAGGGUGCGAAGGCGGUUGGGUAAGACAGAUGUGAAAUCCCCGAGCUUAACUCGGGAAUGGCAUAUGAGACUGCGUGACUAGAGUGUGUCAGAGGGAGGUGGAAUUCCACGUGUAGCAGUGAAAUGCGUAGAGAUGUGGAAGAAACCCGAUGGCGAAGGCAGCCUCCUGGGACAUAACUGACGCUCAGGCACGAAAGCGUGGGGAGCAAACAGGAUUAGAUACCCUUGUAGUC
rnacentral:rRNA from 1 species